UCGGGAAUUUUGGGCAAUGGGCGAAAGCCUGACCCAGCAACGCCGCGUGAAGGAUGAAGUAUUUCGGUAUGCAAACUUCGAAAGAAUAGGAAGAAUAAAUGACGGUACUAUUUAUAAGGUCCGGCUAACUACGUGCCAGCAGCCGCGGUAAUACGUAGGGACCAAGCGUUGUUCGGAUUUACUGGGCGUAAAGGGCGCGUAGGCGGCAUGACAAGUCACUUGUGAAAUCUCUGGGCUUAACCCAGAACGGCCAAGUGAUACUGUCGCGCUAGAGUGCAGAAGGGGCAAUCGGAAUUCUUGGUGUAGCGGUGAAAUGCGUAGAUAUCAAGAGGAACACCUGAGGUGAAGACGGGUUGCUGAGCUGACACUGUACGCUGAGGCGCGAAAGCCAGGGGAGCAAACGGGAUUAGAUACCCUAGUAGUCCCUGAGCGGGCUGGCAAGGCGCAU
rnacentral:rRNA from 1 species